AGCAGCCGCGGUAAUUCCAGCUCCAAUAGCGUAUAUUAAAGUUGCUGCAGUUAAAAAGCUCGUAGUUGAAUUUCGGGACCAUCAUGUCGGUCGUGCCUCGGUACGUACUGGCAUUGUUGGUUUCUCCCUUCUGACGAACCAUGAUGUCAUUUAUUUGGUGUUGUGGGGAAUCAGGACUGUUACUUUGAAAAAAUUAGAGUGUUUAAAGCAGGCUCACGCUUGAAUACAUUAGCAUGGAAUAAUGAAAUAGGACGUUUGAUUCUAUUUUGUUGGUUUCUAGGAUCGACGUAAUGAUUAAUAGGGAUAGUUGGGGGCAUUAGUAUUCAAUUGUCAGAGGUGAAAUUCUUGGAUUUAUUGAAGACUAACUACUGCGAAAGCAUUUGCCAAGGAUGUUUUCAUUAAUCAAGAACGAAAGUUAGGGGAUCGAAGACGAUCAGAUACCGUCGUAGUCUUAACCAUAAACUAUGCCGACUAGGGAUCGGAUGAUGUUAAUUUUUUAAUGACUCAUUCGGCGCCUUACG
rnacentral:ncRNA from 3 species